ACAAGUGUAGCUCAAAUUGCGCAGAGCGCCGGUCUCCAAAACCGGAGGUUGCAGGUUCGAAUCCUGCCACUUGUGCCA
rnacentral:tRNA from 1 species